UUGAACUGAAGAGUUUGAUCAUGGCUCAGAUUGAACGCUGGCGGCAGGCCUAACACAUGCAAGUCGAGCGGAUGAGGAGUGCUUGCACUCCGAUUCAGCGGCG
rnacentral:rRNA from 1 species